rnacentral:rRNA from 1 species
GCUUAGAAGCAGCCAUUCAUUUAAAGAGUGCGUAACAGCUCACUAGUCAAGAGAUUUUGCGUGGAAAAUGUAACGGGGCUAAAGUGUUAAACCGAAGACAUGGACUUCUGCUUUUGCAGGAGUGGUAGAGGAGCGUUGAUAUCGCAGCGAAGUCAGACUGGAAAGUCUGGUGGAGCGUUAUCAAGUGAGAAUGCUGGAAUCAGUAACCUUAAGGCAGGUGAGAAUCCUGCCGGUCGUAAGAGCAAGGUUUCCAGGGCUACAGUAAUUGUCCCUGGGUUAGUCGGUCCUAAGCCGAGGCGUAUCAGCGUAGGCGAUGGACAACAGGUUAAUAUUCCUGUACAGGUAGUAGUUGUGAACAGUUCACGGUGAAUGACCGGAGCGGAUCAAUGGUUUAUCCGUCCAAGUCUUUAGGGAACUAAAGAUGAGUGAAAGGUAAUCUUCGGAUUAUUGAUUCCGGGUGAAGCGCUGGCUAGAAAAGCUGGUUCACUUAUGCUGCUGCCUACCGUACCGCAAACCAACACCGGUGCUCGGGUCGAGUAGACCAAGACCUACGUGAGAACCUUCGCUAAGGAACUCGGCAAAAAAGCGUCCGUAACUUCGGAAUAAGGACUGCCCUCUCAUUAAGAUGAGGAUUUGCUAGAAACUCAGCAGAAGAUUCAGAUUAUGUUACAUAUUUACUAUAAAUUUGUUUUUUUCGAGACCAUAAGCACGGCCGAACGGCCUUGAGUGUGUCGAGAAAAACAACAAAUUUUAGUUAUUUACCUUUAACUGAAUUUUUUCGUUGAGACAGAACACAAAUCAGGAUUUGUUUUAACAAAUUCGUGUCUUUUCUAGUAGUCUAAUCGUCAUUUUGAUGAGAGGGCCGCAGCUAAAGAGCCCACGGAACUGUUUACCAAAAACAUAGGUCUCUGCUAACGCGAAAGCGGAUGUAUAGGGGCUGACUCCUGCCCGGUGUCGGAAGGUUAAGGGGAGAGCUUUACGGUUCGAACUGAAGCCCCGAUGAACGGCGGCGAUAACUAUGAUCGUCCUAAGGUAGCGAAAUUCCUUGUCUGGUAAGUUCAGACCCGCACGAAUGGAGUAAUCAUGUGGGCACUGUCUCGGCGAAGGCCACGGUGAACGUGCAUUGGCGGUAAAGAUGCCGUCUGAUCAUGCCAGGACGAGAAGACCCCAUGGAGCUUUACUACAACUUUGCAUUGAUUAUUGGGACAUUUUGUGUAGAAUAGGUGGAAGACUUUGAAGCAGAUACGCUAGUAUUUGUGGAGUCGAAAUGUGAAAUACCACCCUGAAUGUUUUAGUAAUCUCACUUUUGACCUGAUCGGCCAAAAGGACCGUGCAUGGCGGGUAGUUUAACUGGGGCGGUUGCCUCCUAAAGAGUAGCGGAGGCGUUCAAAGGUUGGCUAACUACGGAUGGAAAUCGUAGUGAUAGUGUAUGCGCAAAAGCCAGCUUGACUGUGAGGGCCACAACCCAAUCAGACACGAAAGUGGGAGCAAAUGACCCGCUGUACAGAACUUCGGUUCAAUUUACGUGGGAAAGACAGCGCACACGGAUAAAAGUUACCCUGGGGAUAACAGGCUGAUCGCGCCCAAUAGUUCACAUAGACGGCGCGGUUUGGCACCUCGAUGUCGGCUCAUCACAUCCUGGAGGGGGAGCACCUUCCAAGGGUUCGGCUGUUCGCCGAUUAAAGUGGUACGCGAGCUGGGUUCAGAACGUCGUGAGACAGUUCGGUUUAUAUCCGGCAUGAUCGUUAGGAAUUUUGAGGAGAUCUGCCCCUAGUACGAGAGGACCGGGGUGGACGGAUCUCUAGUGUAUCGGUUGUGACCACCUGUUGCAUUGCCGAGUAGCUAUAUCCGGAAGAGAUAAGCGCUGAAAGCAUAUUAAGCGCGAAGCCCACUCCAAGAUUAGAAUUCCCUAUGAGAUCCCAGAAAGAAGAUCUGGUUGAUAGGCGCAAGAUGGAAGUACCGUAAGGUAUGGAGUCGAAGCGUACUAAUAGAUCCAUCGCCUUUUUAUG